rnacentral:rRNA from 1 species
UACGUAGGUGGCGAGCGUUGUCCGGAAUUACUGGGCGUAAAGGAUGCGUAGGCGGAAAGAUAAGUGAGAUGUGAAAUACCCGGGCUUAACCUGGGGGGUGCAUUUCAAACUGUUUUUCUAGAGUGCAGGAGAGGAAAGUGGAAUUUCUAGUGUAGCGGUGAAAUGCGUAGAUAUUAGGAAGAACACCAGUGGCGAAGGCGACUUUCUGGACUGUAACUGACGCUGAGGCAUGAAAGCGUGGGGAGCAAAC